rnacentral:lncRNA from 1 species
ACUUUCUUGUAAAAAUGCCUGUUUGGGAUUCCUCAGAGUACGGAGAAAAAGGAAGGCUUGAUCAGCAUGUGGUGGAUCUGAAGAUUCAAAGAGGUGCCACGGCUCAAAAGCAGACAUUUUGGUAAAUGUGAAGAAGUGAGAUUCAAUGAAGAUGAUAAGAAAUGAAAGGUGUUGCCAAAAGCGUCCUGUGGUGACUAAAGAAGGGCCUACCAGCUAAGGGACUCCAUUGGCCCCAGGAGCAGCUUCCGCAGGAGCUCCGGCAGGUUCCUUGGAAAACGCGGCAGUGCCGGGCCAUGGUGCCCUAUUCAGAAAUACAAGACUCAGAUUUAGUAAAGCCAGCUGUGUAAUGUGAAA